rnacentral:rRNA from 1 species
AAUUGUACCGCGAAACUGCGAAUGGCUCAUUAAAUCAGUUAUCGUCUAUUUGAUAGUACCUUACUACUUGGAUAACCGUGGUAAUUCUAGAGCUAAUACAUGCUGAAAAACCCCGACUUCGGAAGGGAUGUAUUUAUUAGAUUAAAAAACCAAUGCCCUCCGGGGGCUCCCUGGUGAUUCAUAAUAACUGGUCGAAUCGCACGGCCUUGCGCCGGCGAUGGCUCAUUCAAAUUUCUGCCCUAUCAACUUUCGACGGCUGGGUCUUGGCCAGCCGUGGUGACAACGGGUAACGGAGGGUUAGGGCUCGACCCCGGAGAAGGAGCCUGAGAAACGGCUACUACAUCUAAGGAAGGCAGCAGGCGCGCAAAUUACCCAAUCCCGACGCGGGGAGGUAGUGACAAUAAAUACUGAUACAGGGCUCUUUAGGGUCUUGUAAUUGGAAUGAGUACAGUUUAAUUCCCUUAACGAGGAACAAUUGGAGGGCAAGUCUGGUGCCAGCAGCCGCGGUAAUUCCAGCUCCAAUAGCGUAUAUUAAAGUUGUUGCAGUUAAAAAGCUCGUAGUUGAACCUUGGGCCUGGCUGGCCGGUCCGCCUCACCGCGUGCACUGGUCCGGCCGGGCCUUUCCCUCUGGGGAGCCGCAUGCCCUUCACUGGGCGUGCCGGGGAACCAGGACGUUUACUUUGAAAAAAUUAGAGUGUUCAAAGCAGGCUUAUGCUCGGAUACAUUAGCAUGGAAUAAUGGAAUAGGACGUGCGGUUCUAUUUUGUUGGUUUCUAGGACCGCCGUAAUGAUUAAUAGGGACAGUCGGGGGCAUCAGUAUUCAAUUGUCAGAGGUGAAAUUCUUGGAUUUAUUGAAGACUAACUACUGCGAAAGCAUUUGCCAAGGAUGUUUUCAUUAAUCAGGAACGAAAGUUAGGGGAUCGAAGACGAUCAGAUACCGUCGUAGUCUUAACCAUAAACUAUGCCGACUAGGGAUCGGACGCUGUUGUCUUUUGACGCGUUCGGCACCUUGCACGAAAGUACA